rnacentral:misc_RNA from 1 species
UUAACACACGAAUAGUGCAGACCAUCAUUGAUUCCCACUCAUUUUGACAUAUAUAUAACACCCAACUUGUAAUUUGGACUUAUACUCUACACAGAUGACAUGAAGUGAAACAUUAGCUCCAGUAUAAACAAAUUUUAGUAACUAUUCUGUAGAUGUCUUGCUUUUAAUCUUGGCGAAUUCCAGGGUUUUCUUCCCUUGUAACUUAUUAGUUACGUAGUGUUUGUUGUAUUCUCCAUGAGUGUAUCUCCUAUACUUGCAUGGGUUGUUCUCAUCCACGAGUUCUGGCAUGGGUCCAAGCUCUAUUUCAUAGCUUGGGGCAUAGAAGUUGACAAUAGAGAGACGGUCUUUUUCCUUAUGAGUCACUGCCCUGUGUUCA